AACUUGCCUGGUACAUAUCAUAGGGCUUUUCUUUGGAAUUCAAAUUUAGGAUUGGAGAGAUGGUGACAAAGCGCGCUUCAAAGAGAAGACGCAAGAACCGCAACCUUCCUACUCAACAAGAGGAGCAAGAGCAACCGCCACAAGUAGGAGUCGACGCCGAUACCAAAAAUUCUGCACAUGAGUCUCCGGUGGUCGUGCUUGCUCACGGCGCCGGAGCGCCUUCCUCUUCCGAUUGGAUGCUUAGAUGGAAAGUUAUGCUGGCCAAGACAUUAAAUGCCGUUGAAGUAGUGACAUUUGACUAUCCCUACAUUGCUGGAGGGAAGCGAAGGGCUCCACCGAAGGCUGAAAAACUGGUUGAUUUUCACUGUGACAUCGUCAGAAAGGCCAUGGCUAUGUAUCCAGGGCAUCCGCUAGUUUUGGCUGGGAAGUCCAUGGGGUCGAGGGUCAGUUGUAUGGUUGCCGGAGAAAAAGAUGUCUCUGCAUCAGCUGUAGUUUGUUUGGGAUACCCAUUAAAGGGCAGGAAUGGUGCAGUGCGAGAUGAUACUCUACUACAACUUAAAGUCCCAGUUAUGUUUGUGCAGGGUAGCAAAGAUGGGCUCUGUCCACUGGAAAAGUUGGAAGCUGUAAGAAAGAAAAUGAAUUCUGCGACUGCGUUGCAUGUCAUCGAAGGGGGUGAUCACUCAUUCAAAAUUUCCAAGAUGCAUCUUCAGUCUACAGGAUCCAAUCAAGAAGAAUCAGAACAGCAAGCCGUUGAGGCUAUUGCAGCAUUUGUAUCACAACAUCUGAAAGAGGGGUGAUGUCUUGGUGCUGAACUGUAUUAGCUUUUGAUCCUAAAUUUGGAGAUUGCAGCAAUGGCCUCUGCUCAAUCGCAGCAAAGUAGCCACCAAAUCGAGCACAGCACCUACCACCGGAAGAUCAUACGCGACGACAAGAACAACUCUACCAACACACAUGAGCACUCUUUGGGUGACAAGGUGAAGGACAUGACCCAUUCUGCUUGGAAGCUGUUCGACCACCACGGCCCCAAUGACACGCAAGUGGAUAUGAAGAAAAAGAAGCAGCACGAAAGGCAUUGCAUCUCCAAGAUGCUUGGCCACGUGAAGAACUUGAAGAAGAAGAAGAUGAAGAAGAGCAAGGAAGGCAGGUACAGAGGCGUCAGCAGCAGUGACAGCGAAAGCAGCAGCGACAACGACAGCGACAUCACUAAGAAGAAGUAAGAGAGAAGGGUGUCUGGAGAAAUAUAUGCGAUAAAUAAAGAAAAUAAUCUUGAUUUUCUGUGUGUAAACCUACAAUUACAAAUGAUCUGAAGAUGUGUUUGACAUCCUUACUUAGAAACUAGAAUAACGGAUGUUGAUAUCUCUGUCAUGAAUGUGAGAUGAGAGCCUAGCUAUAUUUGUAUUGUAUACAAAUGAAAUUAAGUGAUGUAUGCAGCAUCUAUAUAUGUCUCCAAGAUUUGGUCAUCCUUAUUCUUGGCCUCAUGGUGA